CCAUGAGGCCCGGGCAGGGGCUCCGAGAGAUUCUGAUUGUUUCUAAUUUGGGAACCACGCGAGAGCAAGUGGAAAUAGGUGAAACACCGUGCUCUGCUCUUCAGGGUGGAUCCAGCAUCCAGUUGUGCUCUCUAAUUUCACUUCUCGUACUGGGACAAUCUCCCUGGCCUGGCUAAGAUGGAGCCACGGGCAAAAAAAAAUUCCUACCUGUUUUUAUUGGUAAAACAUCACGUAAGUCAGUGUUGAGCGCUGUGGAUUCUUCUUUCAUUUCCUGACCCCAGUGUAACCUUUGCUGUGUCCUGCUAUCCCUCUCCUUGCCUUGAUGUUAAACUUGGAGUGUGCAUGUUGGAGGAUGUGAGUCUCACAGUCCUGCCCUUUCCUGUGACUUUCCCUUGCCACUCAUUUUGUUCCCUCUCUGUUGGCAGUUCCUGCACACAAAAUGCUCUGAAAAAUGUCAUACAGUGACUGUCUUGAGCCAAUACUGUGUGUGUAUAUAUAUAUAUAUAUAUAUAUAUGUAUAAAAAAUGUAUUGGAUGGAAAUAGCAUAGUAUGAACCUUUUUCAAAAAAGAAAUUAUGCAGGUGCUCCCACUCUCCAAAGUAAACUUCCUCCUCUGCUAAUCUUUUUUUAAACCUGGAAUGAAAAAAAACAUGUGUUCUUAACAUCUGGAAAGGGGAGCCCUUCAUGCCUCCUUUAUUAUUCUUUUAUCCAGCAUUGUUCUUCAUUCACCCUUCUCUUCAGGCACUGUUUUUCUCAAUUUUUUGUCUUAUAAGCUUGAGGAAUGUCGUGUGCUUUGGCUUUGUUGUGGACAGGGAAAAUUAGGGAUUUGGUUGCCCUUCACUUCCAGCUCAUUAGUCUGUUUUGAUUCUGGGUUGGUUUUAUAUCUUCAGCUACAGCAAAGCCCUCAGCUUUUGCCUGGAAGGGGUGAUGUAUUCCUGGAGCCGGUAAUUUGUGCAUCCUUUGACUUUAAACUGUUCACAACUCUGCUGAGCCUUUGUGAAUGAGCGUGGAGGAAAAUCGAUAUGUGAAAAAGCUGGAGCAGGGGAGGGAAAACAGCUUUUUCCUGGUCACACCAUUGCCUGAUUUAGUUUUCGUGUCUGUGAACUCUUCAGUGUUUAAAUUUAGAAAUGGAUUGUUUUGGAACAAGUCACUUUUUAGAUCAUUUCCAGGAGAUUUGUGUGUAAUUUAAUCCCAUUUAGGUUUGCUACUCUGAUCUGCUUGUUCCACGAGACUUCAGGUUCUCUCUCUCCCUGUACCUCUCCCACUAUUUUCUACAAAUCUGCUGGGGUUUUUUCCAGUCAAACCUUCAGCAGCAUUUAUGAAUCCUGUUAUAUCUUCUCAGUUCCCUUUUUCUAGUCAUUAACAAAGUGAUGUUUGUUAAAAUAGCCUGAACAUUUGAAAACUGUAACUUUAAUGUCUCUGAAGCAUUUCAUAAGUGAUUGUUAUUUAAACACUCUAGAAAUGGAAUGCGUGUACUUCAGAAAUUAACCUGAAUAGUAUCUUUAAUAUUUCUGCUGUAUAUUCUCUUGUAUUUACUGUGAAUUUCCAACACAGCUUAGUUUAAUAUUUCAGGGUGUCUUUUUAGUUACAACUUAUCAAUGAAGUUGCUGAUUAAGAACCAAAAGAAGUCUCAAAAUGUGACAGUCCGACAUAACACUUCAACCAGUUAAAUUUAAAGUCGAGACAGGAAAGAAUUAAGAUUUUUCCAUACUUCCAUCUAGUGUGCAUGGGGGAAAUUGCAUCCACGGUUAAAAUCCCAGAUAUUCUCUGCUGGCAGUUCCAGUUGGGCAAGGAUCAUCUCAUCCAUUGGUCUUUGUUAAGCAGUAACUGCUGAUAGACUGUGUGGCAUCCCAGGGCUGACAGGUUUUAGUUCCAAGUAUUUAUGUGGCGGUACCUUUGCGAUGUCCAUAAAAUGGCGACGCCUGAAGUUUAAGAAAAAUCACCUUUCACCGUGUGGUGUUCAUGCUCUCCUUCAGUGUGUUCUGCUCUAUUUACUUGUCACUCUGUGCUAGAAUUUCAGCUGCUUGAUUUAUGAAUUAUUGCUAUUGAAAUAAAAUUAAAGUGGCUGUUCAGUUAUUUAAGAGCCAAUUAAAUCUGAUUUUAUUCUGAUGUAACAUUUCCAGUGAAAUGGCAUAAAAUGCAGUCUGUGGAGGAAAGUUAGGUCUAGAAAUGGUUAGUGUUUAUUUUUUAUAAUCUGUACUUUCGACAGCUUGUCUUGCCCAUUGAAAUCCAUUGCAAUCUCACAGCAGUGAGUGUAGAUGUUAGAAGUUGCUCUGUAUAAGGAAAUAAAACAGGUUUGGUGUUUUCCAUGAUCCUGUAUAAACCUUUAGUCGUGGCUGCUGGUUGGAGAACGCAUCCAUCCAGAAGAAAGAAAUUUCCCUUGUUUGCAGUGCUUUUGGACAACAGAAUUUAUUUACCAGCCUUUGGUGACUUUGAAAGGUAGAAACAAAGGGUCUUCUGGGACGGACUCAAAUCAUGGGCUGUGCUGUCUUGAGGGCUCGGCGUUAAUAUUAGUUGAGUUUGCAGUAUCAGAUUGUGCUAAUUACUGCGAGGUCCCCGCUCACAGGGGACACUCAGGACGAGGUACUUUGAGAAGUGCAGCCCAAGGACCUCGUUCAUGCGUGACGGGCAGAGAUGGGUCGUUUGUUGCGUGGUAUUGGGGAGCCAAGUUCACUCUUAAAAGAUCUGCCUGGGCGUGGACGUGCCGAAAAGCACCAGAAAAUACCCUGCCAAACCUUACAGUCCUGUAUUUUGUUAGCAGUAAAUACACCAAGUGGAGAAUGGGCAGGUAGCCUUCAUUAUGUGUGGCAAUUAAAACAUAUCUCUUGAUAGUGGUAUUUCUUCUUAGGGGAAAUGGCAGUGCCAAUCCCAGUUUUAUUUUGACAAUUUCACACCAUACAUUUUGUCUUCUGUGGGCUGGGAGAGCACUGGCUGAGGCUAUUUCGAUAUGAGGAGUCUGGUUUGCCUUAUUUUUUAUUAAAAAUAAAUCAUAUUGAUGCGGAUCUAAUUUUAUUUGGGACUAGACAAGCCUGCACUAGCCAGCUCUCAGGUUUGUGGCGUCUGUCUCCGACAAGAUCACAGAUACAGAGAAAAUGAUUUAUUUUAGUAUCCAGUGCUUAGAUAAAAUUCUGGUUUUGUGCAGAUGGCAUUGAAAGAAUAACACAUAGCUCAGACGAAUUUGUAUAAAGCACUGUAUAUUUGUACCAGAAUCCAAAUCUUCAGUACAUCAGUAAUAUUGAGAUUUAUAUUAUUAUUCUAGUCUUGGGUUUUUUUGGCCUUAGAAUUAAUUGCUGCAUGUAGAGGUCGGUGUACUCUAGUUUGGCUACUCCCUGCAUCUUGGUGGGGUGCUUCCAACUUCACCCCAAAGAGGUUGGGAAUUGUCUGGUUGAUACUGGAGAAUACUUUUGGGUUUUGGGAUGGAAGAUGUUCAGAGCAGUGCAGAGCAGGAGCAUGAGGAUGCUCAGCUCUUUGGAGAGGGUUGGAGACGGUGCAGGUGUUUGGGAGGUACCUGCUCCUCCCUCAAAGGCUUUUAUAAAACACUUUAGUAGAGCACGAUCAAAUCCAGACAGUGGCACUAAUUCUAAAUAAGUGUUUGCUAAACAACAUUAAUGGAUUUAAAAUGUUUUUAGGAAUAGUUAUUAGUCCUUCAGUCUCGUAUGGUGAAGGGAGUUUUGUCUCAAUGGGGGGCUGCCAUUUUAAUGCUUCCUGGCAGGAGGCCUAUUUUGAUCAUGCAAAUUAGGUUGGAAAAAGUAGGCUAAGCCAUUAAAAAGUAGGAGAGAUCAUGAAAUUUUAAAUUUUUAAGGUGACUGUUUUUCUAAUUAUUAACAUUUUUGUUAUCAUCGUUUACGUAUGUCACUUCAUUUUCCUUAAUUCUCAUGUCCUCAUCCCUUAACUCUGACAACCUCAGUGCCAGUUGCUCCUGUAUCCACUGCUCAAAAUGGAAACUGUAGCCCAUUGGCUAUUAUAUUCCCAGCAAGGUGCUUGGAAAUAUUGCCACACGAUGUGUUUUGUUGUAUAAUUAGAAAUGCGGAUACAGACUUUUUUCUUGCACCGUGAUUAAUUUUUUUCCUAUUCCGUUAACAUUAAUAGGGACUGAAGGUUAAACUUGGCUUACAUAAACUCUGGGUAUUUGCAGGAUGCUCGUUGGCAAGGGGAUUCAUUCUGGAAGUGGGAAAGGGGCACAUGUGCACAUGGGUGAGGGUUGGAGCCGGUGUCCAGAAGACUGGAUCUCAGGUGGGAAGAUACUGGGAUUUUCACCAGGAUCUCUUCAGAGGCUCCACCUUUCCCACCAGUUCCUGGCCGGGGGGACAGAGUAACAUGGCACUGAUGGAAUGACGUCCUACUGGGAUGUGGGGAAGAGCUCCCUGCAGCCUCUGAGGCACAUGGAUCCUGUGGCCACCAUCCUGCAGGAGCACUGCAGCCCAUCCCUCACAUCCCGCUCCUCUGGGCAACGAGUGCAUCGGCAAAAUAAGUGUCUUGGUGCCCGCUGGCUUGUGAGCUUCAUUUAAUCCUAUUAAUUUUUAAUAGAAGAUGAAUAUUAAGCCAGCACAUUUCGAACAUGACUUUGCCUGUGCGUGGAAGGACCCUCGAUUUCUGUUUGCUUUGGAGGGAAGAGUGUUGGAUCCUGCAGGAGCGAGACCCUCCUGGAGCAAUGUGGGGCCUGGAGCGAGGGACGUGUCUUUGUAGGGCUGUCACCUUCAGCAAGCACAGCAGCAGUGCCCUGUUCCACCCCAGUGAUCACAAGUGUUGGUUGGAUUUCAGAUGCCUGUCUCCAGAAGGGGUGUUGGUGUGCCGUGCUGCUUGGAUAAACGGAGAGGAACUGGGGAUUUCCAGCUGAAAGUCUGCAACAGGUGUAUUUGCGUGACCCAACCAGACUCUGGUGGAAAACGCCAACAGUUGAAUGCCAAUUUUACAAGGACUUCAGUAAAUAUUAAUUUAAGUGAUUUAGGGGUUCUGUUGUGCAAAUAAAGUGUAUUUUUAAUCACUGUCUUGGGUAGGAGCUAAUAGAAGAGAGUUGUGCUGGGGAUGGAGAGCUCAUACCCACCACCCAACCAUGGCUUUGCUACAGCUGAUGUUCUGCAGCCUCCAAAACAGUAAACUCGAAACAGGAAGGUCGGCUCUGUGAGCUGAUGGUAUCUUUGUCAUUAAGAGAGGUUCUGGGAAAGUAAGCUGCAUUCCUUAGCUCUUGCAACCCUUUUUAAUUGUUUUUUCUCACAACCUUAGCCUGAUCUUAUCACCUAAGUAAUUGUUGCAUCAUAUUUACUUUAUUCUCUCUACUGGGAAGUCAGAUAAUUGCUUUAUACUUUUUAAUGGAAAGUGUUUGGGAAGCCUCUUACCUCUGGGAUGUAGAUGAGCAGUGCAGCAACUAUUGCAAGGCUUGCAUUCCUCCCCUUUUUCUGGAGCUGGAUGGGAAUCCAGUAGGAGAAGGCCUAGACGACUGGCACCUUCUCUAGAAUUGAGUAGCAGCCAUGAAGUUACUCAGUGGUUUAGACCCCAUCA